rnacentral:rRNA from 1 species
UACCCGCAGCACAAGUGGUGGUCAUUAUUAUUGGGCCUAAAGCGUCCGUAGCUGGCUUGUUAGAUGCCUGGGUAAAUCGAUGCGCUCAACGCAUCGAACUCCGGGUAGACCGGCAAGCUUGGGACCGGGAGAGGCGUGAGCUACUCGAGGGGUAGGGGUAAAAUCCUGUAAUCCUUCGGGGAGGACCAGUGGCGAAGGCGUCACGCUAGAGCGGCUCCGACAGUGAGGGACGAAGCCCUGGGGCGCAAACCGG